UGUCUCAAUUUUUACUCGAGUUAUUGCGUGCAAAGCCGGGCAGACGGACGGACGGACGGACGGACGAGCGGAUGGACAGACAGGCUUAAUAGAUUUCUUUUUUCAUUCUGAUCAUUCUGGUAUACAUUUGUCUAUAUCUAUCUCGAUUCGUUUAAAUAUCGAAUUCGAUAACAUAUCCUUCCCAAAGAAACGUUUUACAAUCCUUUCCUCGAGAGUUACAUUUAAAUUGUACAAUAACUUUUUAAAAAAAUAUAUCGACUUUUUAACUUUUCACCACUGAUACAUACAUGUCCUAUGCAUGGAUUUUUUAGAAGGCUUUCCCCGCUCUCGCUGCAGGAUUCAAGCCAGUUUUGUCUCAGAAAAGGAAGCGCUGGAAAUUAAAAAAAAUAAUAAUUUUACCGUCUUCCUUGCAUAAAAACAUAAAUUGCAAAGAGUAUCAUUUUAAAAUUUGGUGCCAUUAUUUUAACCACAGCUGUAUGUAUAAUAUUAUUGUGCAUCAAACCAAUGCUUACGUGCUGAAAGCAUUUCACAUGCCCAUUGUAAUGUUAUCGCGCCUUUAUCGUCGCAAUCGCCACGUUGGUCGCAGAAAUUACUGGCAUUCAGGCAUCCAGAAACUUUAUGGAAGCGUAAGCAUACGCGCCUGAACUACAGUUUCGUCUGCCUGUACCACCUUUGUGCGCUUAUUUUGUUGAGAAACAGAAAACGAAAACAAAACCCAAAGACCAGAUCAUUCCAAUACAAACGCGUUAAGUUACUCGCUCCGAAAAUUGCAACAGCGAAUAAAAAAGUGGUGGACAAUUAAGGGUGAAAAUGAAUUACGUAUCCGGCUAAAUGUGCACUCCGGUUGCGGUACACUAAAAAAGAAAAAAUGUAAUAUACUAAAUACAAAAUAUCUGCGAAUGGCAUUCGAGAUUUUCGAAGCACUAAAACAUCGACUGCUACCUUAAUGUCAGUGACCACUACUUGAAAAACACUGCAGUGAUCUUGAAUCCCAAUUGAAGUUUGAUAGAGAGUUUCCUACAAAAGAGCGAAUGUUCCUUCAAGUUUGGAUCCAUCUCAUCCCUUAAGGAUGUGAGUGCAAAACGAGCAAGCGUGUGUUUUUAAGGGUAAAAUCGAGUUAUUCUAGAAUAUUACAGUUACCGCACUCUCAAUUAAGUACCCGGUGUCCCUAAGCCUGAUUGCAGCUCUUGCUAAGAGAAGGCGAUACCCAGAAUGAGAGUGGUCCUAUGUAUGUGUCGAACUGCUAAUUCCGAUAAGUACGGUUCGUUGUACCCCCCAAAUCUCUGACUGCCGUAGUCUUUACCACUCACCAAGAGUGCAACAUCCUCGGCAACCCAACGCCUCUUACAGAAAUUAAUAUGGAGAAUGCUCAGCCUUUCUGCAUACCUACUUGCGAAUGAUCGGAAAAUCCUUAGCUAAUACAUUUUAUUUGUAGGGUACACACAGUAUGUGAACUGCCGCUACCGAAGCAGUAACAAAUUACAAAUUUAAUUGGUAGAAUGGGAUAGCGAAAAGAGUGCUCCAGAAGUCUAUCGCUUCAAUGCUCGCUCGCCAAUAGCAUAGUGUGUUUAUUAUUUUAGUCGCUUGAAUGAAGAAUUGUCUGUGUGUAACUUUCGAGAGCACCGCAGCUAGUAUAUAAGCAGCAAGGGACGUCCUCAGAGCUCAGUAAAAAUUAUGCAUUUGAGCAGAAUACUACUAAGCAAAUAAAAAAAGCAAACAGUAAAACCAAAAAUUAAGUGCAAUUUUCAAAAAGUUCUUACCAAGAACUGAACCAACUCAAGCAAAGGAAGGAAGCAGAAGAUUAGGAGGCAAUGAACAAAGCUACA